rnacentral:lncRNA from 1 species
GAAUUUAGAAAAUUAGAGAAGAAGGAAGAGUCGAAAUUAGAAAAUGUUGAAAAGAAUAGAGGUGUGGUUGGUUGUGGUUGUGGUUGUUGGCCAUCGUGCCAACUCUUUGGUGAGAUUGUGGUUGUCGGCUAUCGUGCCGUUUAUUAUGUUACAAGUUUUGGAAAACCUCCUCGUGCAGGGGAGUUGCUGCCAAAAUUUUGACUUAAACAGUGCUCUGUUUCUUUUGUUGCAGGAGAGGCUUACAAGGACCGUCCUCG